GGGUUGUGAGGUUAAGCGACUAAGCGUACACGGUGGAUGCCCUGGCAGUCAGAGGCGAUGAAGGACGUGCUAAUCUGCGAUAAGCGUCGGUAAGGUGAUAUGAACCGUUAUAACCGGCGAUUUCCGAAUGGGGAAACCCAGUGUGUUUCGACACACUAUCAUUAACUGAAUCCAUAGGUUAAUGAGGCGAACCGGGGGAACUGAAACAUCUAAGUACCCCGAGGAAAAGAAAUCAACCGAGAUUCCCCCAGUAGCGGCGAGCGAACGGGGAGCAGCCCAGAGCCUGAAUCAGUGUGUGUGUUAGUGGAAGCGUCUGGAAAGGCGCGCGAUACAGGGUGACAGCCCCGUACACAAAAAUGCACAUAUUGUGAGCUCGAUGAGUAGGGCGGGACACGUGGUAUCCUGUCUGAAUAUGGGGGGACCAUCCUCCAAGGCUAAAUACUCCUGACUGACCGAUAGUGAACCAGUACCGUGAGGGAAAGGCGAAAAGAACCCCGGCGAGGGGAGUGAAAAAGAACCUGAAACCGUGUACGUACAAGCAGUGGGAGCACGCUUCGGCGUGUGACUGCGUACCUUUUGUAUAAUGGGUCAGCGACUUAUAUUCUGUAGCAAGGUUAACCGAAUAGGGGAGCCGAAGGGAAACCGAGUCUUAACUGGGCGUUAAGUUGCAGGGUAUAGACCCGAAACCCGGUGAUCUAGCCAUGGGCAGGUUGAAGGUUGGGUAACACUAACUGGAGGACCGAACCGACUAAUGUUGAAAAAUUAGCGGAUGACUUGUGGCUGGGGGUGAAAGGCCAAUCAAACCGGGAGAUAGCUGGUUCUCCCCGAAAGCUAUUUAGGUAGCGCCUCGUGAAUUCAUCUCCGGGGGUAGAGCACUGUUUCGGCAAGGGGGUCAUCCCGACUUACCAACCCGAUGCAAACUGCGAAUACCGGAGAAUGUUAUCACGGGAGACACACGGCGGGUGCUAACGUCCGUCGUGAAGAGGGAAACAACCCAGACCGCCAGCUAAGGUCCCAAAGUCAUGGUUAAGUGGGAAACGAUGUGGGAAGGCCCAGACAGCCAGGAUGUUGGCUUAGAAGCAGCCAUCAUUUAAAGAAAGCGUAAUAGCUCACUGGUCGAGUCGGCCUGCGCGGAAGAUGUAACGGGGCUAAACCAUGCACCGAAGCUGCGGCAGCGACACUAUGUGUUGUUGGGUAGGGGAGCGU
rnacentral:rRNA from 1 species